rnacentral:rRNA from 1 species
AGAGUUUGAUCCUGGCUCAGAUUGAACGCUGGCGGCAUGCCUUACACAUGCAAGUCGAACGGCAGCACGGGUGCUUGCACCUGGUGGCGAGUGGCGAACGGGUGAGUAAUACAUCGGAACAUGUCCUGUAGUGGGGGAUAGCCCGGCGAAAGCCGGAUUAAUACCGCAUACGAUCUACGGAUGAAAGCGGGGGACCUUCGGGCCUCGCGCUAUAGGGUUGGCCGAUGGCUGAUUAGCUAGUUGGUGGGGUAAAGGCCUACCAAGGCGACGAUCGGUAGCUGGUCUGAGAGGACGACCAGCCACACUGGGACUGAGACACGGCCCAGACUCCUACGGGAGGCAGCAGUGGGGAAUUUUGGACAAUGGGCGAAAGCCUGAUCCAGCAAUGCCGCGUGUGUGAAGAAGGCCUUCGGGUUGUAAAGCACUUUUGUCCGGAAAGAAAUCCUUGGCUCUAAUACAGUCGGGGGAUGACGGUACCGGAAGAAUAAGCACCGGCUAACUACGUGCCAGCAGCCGCGGUAAUACGUAGGGUGCAAGCGUUACUCGGAAUUACUGGGCGUAAAGCGUGCGUAGGUGGUGAUUUAAGUCCGUUGUGAAAGCCCUGGGCUCAACCUGGGAAUUGCAGUGGAUACUGGGUCACUAGAGUGUGGUAGAGGGUAGCGGAAUUCCCGGUGUAGCAGUGAAAUGCGUAGAGAUCGGGAGGAACAUCUGUGGCGAAGGCGGCUACCUGGACCAACACUGACACUGA